UGAUAACUCCACUGGCCACUCCUCAGAUGGUCACUAGAGGUGCUUCCUUGGGCACUCCUGCCUAAUGCGCAGCACUACCAUUCAGUGUUUCCACCCUCGGCAUGUAGACACUGAACUUUCCUCAUAUGAGAUGCAUAUGAGGAGAUGCUGAUUGGCCAGGGCUAUGUUUGACUUGUGCUGGCUCUGCCCCGAUCUGCCUCCAUGACAGUCUCAGCCAGUCCUACUGGGAAGCAUUGUCAUUGGCUCAG